AAGUCGGGAAGUGAAGGAGAUGUCAGGAUGAUGUCACUUCAUUGAAGAAGCGGAACACACCAGGAUGGUGUUGCAAGGAAGGCUUCAGGACGAAGCAAGGAUCACUCAGGAAGAGUAAGGGACACCUCCAGGACGGAGAAAGAGAGCCGAAUUUGGAUGUUCGGUGGGUCUGGAAGACCAAAGGAUAUUGCAUCAGGACGAUGCCGGAACACCUCAGGAUGAUGGUAGCAGGAAGCGAGUACGACGGAUUGUAGGUCAGGAGACCGCAGGACAUAGUUGUCACGGACGAGCAGGGAGCACCAAAAGUAGCCGGAUUAGCUGCGAAACGAACCGGGAGCACUGUUUAUA
rnacentral:other from 1 species